rnacentral:rRNA from 1 species
AACUGACGCUGAGGAGCGAAAGCAUGGGGAGCGAACAGGAUUAGAUACCCUGGUAGUCCAUGCCGUAAACGUUGGGCGCUAGAUGUAGGGACCUUUCCACGGUUUCUGUGUCGUAGCUAACGCAUUAAGCGCCCCGCCUGGGGAGUACGGCCGCAAGGCUAAAACUCAAAGGAAUUGACGGGGGCCCGCACAAGCGGCGGAGCAUGCGGAUUAAUUCGAUGCAACGCGAAGAACCUUACCAAGGCUUGACAUACACCGGAAACGGCCAGAGAUGGUCGCCCCCUUGUGGUCGGUGUACAGGUGGUGCAUGGUUGUCGUCAGCUCGUGUCGUGAGAUGUUGGGUUAAGUCCCGCAACGAGCGCAACCCUCGUUCUAUGUUGCCAGCGCGUUAUGGCGGGGACUCAUAGGAGACUGCCGGGGUCAACUCGGAGGAAGGUGGGGAUGACGUCAAAUCAUCAUGCCCCUUAUGUCUUGGGCUUCACGCAUGCUACAAUGGCCGGUACAAAGGGCUGCGAUACCGUAAGGUGGAGCGAAUCCCAAAAAGCCGGUCUCAGUUCGGAUUGAGGUCUGC